GCUCUCAUAGCGUAGUGGUUAGCGCGUCACUCUUACUAAGUGAAGAUCGGCGGUUCGAACCCGUCUGAGAGCA
rfam:Mortierella elongata AG-77 unplaced genomic scaffold K457scaffold_89, whole genome shotgun sequence.